GAGAAAAAAAAAGGGGCCUUGACUUUCCUUUCUUGAAUUUUGUGCUGAAAUCUUGGUGGCUUGUACAUCUGUAAGAUCAGUCAUAUUUCGAAGUAUUUGCAUAUAUUUGGGCCAUUUUUGUGAAGCAGGAUAAUUUUUGAUAACUUUCUAGGUUGUCACUUUUGCCCUUUUAGAAUGCAGUCAUAAGCACUAAAGAAAUAAUCAUGCUUAAAGAAUGUUGCAUUUAUCUUUAAACAUUUCUGAUUAAACCUUUUUUGUAAAGGGGUGUUGGGCAUGAAUUAUGUUGCCAGAGUGUUGGUAAAGAUAAAUGCAUAGGUGGCUGUUAACACUGGUGUGGCCAUACUGCAGAACCCUUAGAAAUUUUGCCUGGCAGAUGUUUUAAUGCCUUCUUUUUGUUUGUGGACAUUGGGAAUUCACAUUGGGGAUGCAAUUAAAUGCAUUUAAAAAUUGAAUGAACCUUAAUUCUGAUGUCUGCAUUUUGAAAAGGCAAGGCGUGUGUGCAAGAAAAUGACAAAUGAGUGCCUGAAUUAGUCUUGGUAGUUGCUGCUCACGUUUGCAAGCAAUUAAGAAUCUUGCAAGACCCAAACGCAGUGCAAUGCCUGGUUGGCAUUGUCUGCUUGCGUAGAGGAAUGUCAUAUGCACCUAAGCCAGAGUUCCUAAGCCUGAACUGCUGCCGUUAUUUGGAAGCCCAGUGUCUGGAGUGGGACAGAAAUCUGGUCUUGGUGGUUUUGGCAUUUAUGGGCAUCACUGAUACUGGUGCUCCCUACAAAUUGCCAUCUUGGGAGGCAACUUUUCAUAAAGUUUGAUACUGUUGGCAGUUCAACAUCUUCCCUACACUCAUAUAAGAACAUAAGGUUGUAUUUUUUUACCCUUGAACACGGUAAAGUUUGCCAGUGUCAAAACAAUAUUUUUUUUUGCAGUAGGUUGCAAGUCUUCUGGAGUUUUUCUUAAUGGCUUGAGUAAAACCGUACACGGUUCUUCAAAAGAAUUUUAUUGAAUAGAGGUUAUUUACAAACUGUGUACAAAAGUGAAAAAUGAAAAGUGUCCAUUAAACACCACAUGGGAAGACUCUCCACGACUUAUGCAAGAGCAGCAACUCCUGCUUACCAAUAUCAACAUUGUUGGGCAGGUCAUCUUCUGGUGCACAGAACUUGAAACAAAUACUAAGUUGUCUACAUUGUGUGGAAGCUCAAUGUAAAUUUCCAGCCCCUGCAAAAUCUCAAGCAAACAUUUUUCACUGGCUAAAAUUUGGCUUGAAAUGAUGCUCAGCAAGGCUUCAUACAUGGGCACACUGCAAGGGCAGGGCAAGGUGCUGUUUGUCAACACAUUUGAAUGUGCAAGAUGCACUUAUGGUGGCAUAUUAGACAAAAGCUGUAAAAAAAGAAACGGGGGUUUCAAAAGGAAGUCAAAUUUGCAAGUGCACUCGACCUUCCACUGCAGGAGAAAGCCAACAUGUGACAUACUAUACCUUUCACAGUGGCAAAAGGAGUGUGCCUGGCAGGCCAUACAUAUUAGUAGAAGCAUUCACCAGCAGGGAAUAUUUCCACACAUUCACAGAGCAAUGCUCGUUGGUGGGGGCGUGCUAUGAUUGG
rnacentral:lncRNA from 1 species